GCCGCCGCGCGCCGCGCUUCCGGCAUGACCCGGCCAGUGACGUCACCCGCCUCCGCGCGUCAGCGGGGGCCCGGCGGCGGGCGGCACGCAGGCGCCGCCGCGGCUGUGCUACGGUCCGGUUUUGUUACCGGGGCGCGCGGUAGUGCGCAGUUCGGCUGCUGUGCCGUGCCCAGCCCGUGCCUCAGCGCCUCGGGUUUGCCCCAGCAGCUCAGAAUCACAGGCACCUCUGGGAUCAUCCAGUCUUACUACCCUGCUAAAGCAGAGUCAGCUACAGCAGGUCGCCCAGGAUUGCGCAAGCCCAUACCUCAGGGUCCCGGUCCCACCUCAGCACCUCGGCCCCACUCUUAGGUACCGUAGCCUUACGUGGCCCAUGCCUCAGAGCACUGGAUUUAUUUCAGCACCAUACCUGUGUCCUGGCCGUGCCUCAUCACCCUGGCCCCAUACUUCAACCCAUGCCUCAGAGCCCUGGCUUUACCUCCGCACCCCAGCCUUACCUCGGUGCUUUCCGGGGAGAGGCAGCACGGAGCGCGGCAGCAGCAGCAGUGCUUGGAACACGCUGUAGUCCAGCCCAGGACAUAACCACUGCAUGAAGAGAGGAAGAGCUGUGAGAUGCACUCACUGCUCAGGGCAUCGGGAAACCAUGAGGCGUUUUUCGUUUGCCAUGUUGGCAACUGCUGCACAAGGAUGCUCAGGUGUUCUACUAAACCAGUGCUAAGGGUUUCAACCUAAGUGAGCAAUGAAUCCCCACAGCUGCAAGAAAUAACCCUGCAGGGGUUGAGUUAAUUAAAACUUAGCCAGUGAGUCAGGUGUGACUAUUUUACUCUAACCAGCAGCCCUGCAAAUGCAGCUGAUGUGGCCAGUCUCGUGUCCUGCUCCAGCUUUCCCAGUACAAAGGAAAUUGCAAACUAACAGCAGGCCAGCAAAGCAUUGCUGAAGUGGUCUGGGGAAUGGAACAUAGCAUAUGAGAGGCUGGGAGAGCUUUCUCGUGUGGAGAAAGCAAGGCUCAAGAGGAUUUAAUGGAAGUCUUCUGUAACCUAAAGUGGAGAAGAUGGAAGGAAUUUUUCUCAGAAGUGCACAGCAAAGAACAGGAAGGAAAAGGGCACAUGUCAAAACAAGGAAAAUUCCAAGUGAAAAUAUGGAAAAAAAGAUGGAUAACACAGCUGAUUCAGCACUGGAAUAGGCUCACAGAGAGACAUUGUAAUCUCUGUUCUUGGGAUGUGCUGAAAAACAUGAUCUAACUUUGAUGUUAGCUCUGUUUUCAGCUGGAGAUAGCAGCCAGAAGUCCCUUCCAAGCUAAAGGUUUAAGUGAGUCUACACUAGUUUUGCAGAUUUAGAAUGCAAAACAAAGUGUGUUUUCUACAAAGCAAGCAUUACCUCCUGAGAUAGUUAUGUUAUUUACCUAUCAGGGGAAACACAUUUGCCAGAGCUGCCUUCUGUUUUGGAGCAUACAAUAAUGCAUCAACACCCAUGCUGCAGAAACUGCCAAGAAAAUUGGUAGUAAGCCUCAGAGGAAAAGCUGCCAGUCAGAUAAGCAUGGGUAAGUUCAUCUAAAAACAAUAGUUUAGGCAGCAGUAGGGGAAAUUUUCACUUGCUGCUAAUUAUGCAUAUUUAAACCUGGUAAAAUAGAGAACCUGACUGUGGAGCAGGGGCUGAACAGAUCUUCCAUGAACAAGUAAAACAACUUGGGGAGCUUGCUGUAGACACUAUACCUUAACUGUAACUGCAUUACACCAGCAACAUUCUACAGUUCCUCAUUCUGUAGGCCACUCAACUCCGUUAAUAUUGGUAAUGACAUGUUUUCUCUGUUGGACACUCCAUAACUCAGUGCUGCAGUUUAUUUCCCCAAGGCUGGAAAAGAUUUUAUCACGUGUUGAUCCUUCUAUUCUCUUUUUACAUGGAAUGUGAAGGGAACAUGGAUGAUAUGCCAUCAAACCAGCUAGCCUGUUAUUGUGGAGGGCCCGUAGGCCCUAAAACAGGCUUCUUUGUGCCUUGCCCUGCCCGGACAUGUCUCUCUGCCUGCACCAGGGGUAAAGGAGCACAAAGGGGCACAACAGGGCUGGUGUUGUGGAGUCUGUCGUGCCCAGGACACCUGAUUGUGUAAGCCCCACAGGCACAGCUGGUGCCUGCCCAGUGCUAGGCCCACGUGAUUACCAUAUUUGGAGUCCAGGCCUGUGGGCUUUACCUAUUAUGGUAAGGCCUGGCUGACUGCCAGCCUGAUUGGUCAUUUUGGUGGCCAGUGGGCUGGGAAUUCUCGGCCCACAUUUAAUAAGCAGGAGUACAGAGGCUCACCUGCUGGCUCUCCCACAUUGCUUGCUUGCCUGCCUGCCUUCCAUCAGCCUGAGCAGCCAGCGUUAGACCCGUGCUCAGGCUGCACGGCGUGCCUCUGCACCUGAGAUCCUGCCUGCUUAUCCCUGGAGAGAGCGUCCGGAAGAGAUCAGCAACACAAGGCCUGAGGUUUUGCUCAUGAGUUUGCCUCAUUACAGAGGGAAGAGCUUGCCUACUACAAGGAUCUAACCUGAUUGCUACUCCAGUUGAAACCACCUUAAAGCUUGCUGAAUGCCUGCAAGAAUAAUGUACUGCACUCUGCAUAACACUGAGGGAUUUCCUGCACUGCCUCCCCACCGUUCAGCAAGGACCUCACCAGAGAGAAUCAAAGUGAGAAACUGAAAUUAGUCAGUCAAUGAAUGGGGAUGAGCUGAGAAAAAACCUACUGUGGAGCUCAAAGAAGAAUAUGGAAAGAGUCAUAAGAGGAAUGGUAAUUUCCACCCUGAAUUGUACUUCAGACAGCAUGAAAUGAAUGGAGUUUUGUGGAUUCAACACAGAGCAUACUGCCAAGUGGUUGUUUCUGCUUUCUGUCUAGCCCAGCAAGUCAAAAUCUCUAAGGAGAAACAAAAAGAAUUUCUAAAGAGGAGUGGGAUCCCAAGUCCUCGUGACCAUGCUUGCAUGAGAAGGAGAUCCUUAUAUGAAACAGUGAAGAAAACAUUUCUCUUUUGACAGAGAGGAAGAUUGAGCCGAAUGAAUCAAAGAGUGGCUGCUCACUGAUCUACUGGAGCUACUUGUUUGAACUGUGGGCAAGCUUCUGAAGUCCAGAUGCUCUGCUGGAGUCUAUUAUCAUACCUUCCUCAGCAGGUAACUUAACUCCUGCCUCUCGUCUUUUGAUCCCAGGCAGAAAGGACUAUGGGGAACUACUCCAUGUCUGACUGGGACUCUAGAAAAUAUCUGGUGGUCAAAGCAGAAUUCUCUGUUCCCCUCAAGAGCAUGGGCUGGAUGCAACUUCUUAAGGCAGCCAGCAGUAGCAGACUGGCAGAAUUAUAAGGGAAUGGAAAUUCCUCUCACUCUUUGGACUUUUUUUACACUCCAGGGCAAAACUGAUGGAGGAAGGUACUCUAAGGUAACUUUUGUAGUGUUUGGUUUCAACUCCAGCUGCUUCUCAGGACCUCAGACGAGUCCCAGCUGCAAAUCUUGUAUGCCAUAGUUGUUAGUGUGAUCAGUAGGGCAAACAAGAUGACUCAAAGACAGGUUGAUGAGGAAAUUAUGAUGUUUCAGGGGCUAGUUUAAUGCUUUGUGGGGAAUGGAUUCACUCAGCAUCUGGAGUGGACCAUGAUGUGAAAAGGUCUACCCUUAAAGUCCUACCCCUCAACUUUAAGAAUUAAUUCUGAACUUUAAUUCUAUUGAGGUUCAAAAUACACUUUGAAAUAAUACAA